rnacentral:rRNA from 1 species
UACGUGGGGGGCAAGCGUUGUCCGGAAUCAUUGGGCGUAAAGCGCGCGUAGGCGGCUAGAUCAGUCUGCUGUAAAGGUCAAAGGCUCAACCUUUGAAAGCCGGUGGAUACUGUCUAGCUAGAGUCCGGGAGAGGUGAGUGGAAUUCCCAGUGUAGCGGUGAAAUGCGUAGAUAUUGGGAGGAACACCAGUGGCGAAGGCGGCUCACUGGACCGGAACUGACGCUGAGGCGCGAAAGCGUGGGGAGCAAACAGG